rnacentral:lncRNA from 1 species
CACGUGACCAAGAGCCGCCUAGAGCACAAGUCCUGCUAGUCGCCUCCGUCUGGGUACCAGCCCCCUAUUACUCUGCAGGCGUGUGAAGAAAGAAGGAAACUAGCUCGGACCGUGCAGGUUUGUAGGUCUGUUGGCCUGUAGGUUUCGGCACAAGUUUCAGCGAGAGAAGGAGAAAACUGCCUUGGUUGGAACCUUGCAGUGCAGGGAAAGGGGUGUGGCGGCCUUUGCUGGGGAAAUGGCGGACGACAAGUGGGGCGGAGGAGGCCUGCGUCCGGAAAGUCAGUAGAAUUCAUCACAAGAGAGCUACAAGAGCCUGGAAGAAGCUGAAGACUGCUACCCUCCAUCCUUACUCACCCUGGACCUGAGAGACCUCUUCAAUCAGAAAUGGAAACAGAGAGAUUCUCCUGGAAACCCCUGCCCCAUAAACGGCCCUCUCGAACACAAUGGGACGGAAUCCACCCACAACGCGCUUGGUUUGCAGAUGUCAAAGAAUCUGCAGAGGGUGCUACUGAAGAUCCAGCCUUAGCCAAUCACCACCUCAUUGGGUGAAAGUUCCAGGGCUCAAUCCAGGACCACACUCUUAUUGGCCAGGCAGGGGCUCCCACAGAGCUUUGAGUAACUUCUUGGUUGUGCAGUCUGCAGGCAAUGUUGGCAUUGUAAAUUCCUCCCUUGCAGCCUCCUUCAUGUGGUGAGGGGAUCACUUCAGCUGCCUGCUGUGGACAAAGAACAUCAAAUUACAGCAUCACGAGUGCUAUUGUUGCCUGUGGUGGUCUCCCUGUCCAAGCGGGACCGCUUUGCAGAGACCAGAGGCAUAUCGCGGCUUGAGCUGAAAAUGCAUUUGUUGCAGCUUAGGUUGAAUUAUUUUUCGUUUGCUCUUUCUUCUACACGCGCCUGAUGGAUAGUGAACCUAUUCAUCAAAAAAGUGCACUGCUCUUCUGUCUAUUGUACCGACUUAACCUCUUCCACCCAAGUCCGCAUCUGUGUGUAUCAUCAAUAAAGUUGUGUGCUUUGAUUGGCAGAAAAGA